ACAGCAGUCGCCGCGGGAAUACGGAGGAUCCAAGCGUUAUCCGGAAUCAUUGGGUUUAAAGGGUCCGUAGGCGGUCUUGUAAGUCAGUGGUGAAAGCCCAUCGCUCAACGGUGGAACGGCCAUUGAUACUGCAGGACUUGAAUUAUUGGGAAGUAACUAGAAUAUGUAGUGUAGCGGUGAAAUGCUUAGAGAUUACAUGGAAUACCAAUUGCGAAGGCAGGUUACUACCAAUUGAUUGACGCUGAUGGACGAAAGCGUGGGUAGCGAACAGGAUUAGAUACCCGCGUAGUCCCUGUCUCUUAUAA
rnacentral:rRNA from 1 species